rnacentral:sRNA from 1 species
UCUCAUAUCUCUCUAUACGGGAGAGAAGCUUCGACUAAGGUUCGAUUCGAGCGUCAGCGAGAAAGCGUUGCCGCAGGCAA